UACAUUUUCCUAACUCGGGUAUUUAUUCUUGACUGUUAAAUGAAUAAAGAUAGUUGUUCACUUAUGUCAGAACUUUCACAAGAAGAUGCGCACCAAAGAGUUUUCAUAUUCCUCUACAUUGUUCCUGUCCCAUGUUUUGGACUCAAAACGAUGAGCAUAUUUUUAUUAGACAAAUGGCACAAUGUUUUACUUGUAACAAAUGGUUUCAUCAUGAAUGCAAAAGUAUUCCACUGCGUGCACAUGAGAAAGAAGAUGUUAUCUGGAACUGUCAUGACUGCCAGAUGCAAAUAACAGAAAACUGAAGUUAUUCUGUUUCCAGUUAAGGGUUUGCAAAAAAAUUUUUUUCUUGUACAGGCAGUUAUUAAUGGAUAAAAUAUUUAAAAAAAUAAAAAGACUACUAAAAUCGGUUCUUUAACCGUUACACUAAAAGUUGGGUUCCAAAAUAUUGGAAAGGUAACC
rnacentral:lncRNA from 1 species